rnacentral:rRNA from 1 species
UCUACAUGUAAAAGUGUAUGUAGUCUAACCUGCUCACUGAGCAUAAACUUAAAGAGCCGCGGUAUAUUGACCGUGCAAAGGUAGCAUAAUCAUUAGUUUUUUAAUUGAAAACUUGUAUGAAUGGUUGAACAAAAGAAUUACUGUCUCUUUUUGAUAAUUUGAAUUUAACUUUUAAGUGAAAAGGCUUAAAUCUGUUAAGGGGACGAUAAGACCCUAUAAAGCUUUAUCAAUAAUUAAAAUUUUUAAAAAAUUUAAUAAUAACUAAAAAUUUUGAUCAUUUAUUUUGUUGGGGCGACAUAAAUAUAAGUAAAUAUAACUGUUAGUAAAGUAAACAAUAUUUUUGAGUGGUAAUUGAUCCUUAAUAAGGAUUAUAAGACAAAGUUACUUUAGGGAUAACAGCGUUAUUCUUUUUAAGAGUUCUAAUCGAAAAAAGAGUUUGCGACCUCGAUGUUGAAUCAUAAAAUCUUUACAGUGCAGCCGUUGUAAAUGAAGGUCUGUUCGACCUUUAAAUUUUUACG